rnacentral:lncRNA from 1 species
UGGUUGGAGGUGGUCGAGCUGGACGAGGUGGAGGACGAGGAUUCGUGCUCGGUCCUCGACCUGAUGACUUUUGACCUUCCGGAUUAAAUUUCAAGUUUACAAGUUUGAUUAUUGAAAACGUCAUAUUUUGUGAUAUCAAACCAAUGUGCAUGCUGCAGAUAAAAUUUUGAAUCAGAAAAAAAACCGAACGACCAGGAGCAACAAAUUGCAAUGGACAUAAAUUACGUACGCCAUCUUUCCUGUCAAUUCAAGAUUCCAGCGACGAGGCGCUUCAAUUGCCACCUAAUAACUUUGCCAUUUUGCGACAAUUGAUGAUGGGUAAAUUUUUCUUGUACUGU